rnacentral:lncRNA from 1 species
GGCACAUAGCUCGCUCGUCGGUUGCAGACAUGAAGGAUUCUCUUCCAGAAAAAGUGACAGAACAAAGAGUCGUAUGUUGCCGAUCGCUGGUCUUGUCUCUACUGUACACGCGCCAGGCCAACAACAAUCCGAUCAGGGAAUCCUUAGGUGUUUAGAAUUGGUCUACAGAGACUGCGCACGACGUUGGCUGAAAAAGACGUCGGGAUGCGGAACCACAUGGACUGGUUUUCCCGUGAUUAAUCCGCCCCUCGUACCAACAAGCUCGAGAGAAGUCACACCGGAACAGAGCAACAGUUCUAGAGAAGUACUUUUGGAGUUUUUUGAUCGGAUACCUAUUGGCAAGAAGUGUAAAUAGACCAUCACCAAAGCCAUCUGCAUAUGGACACUGCGCUCUUCCGUAUCGGGUGGUCGAGUCUUGCUUCAUCCUUGUCGGCGCAUUACUUCCGUGUCAGUUACUAACCAAGAUUCAGUUAGGAAUAGCGGUUCGCCGUCAGAUGUAAGAUGCAACCUGUCUAUGCUUUUCCGUGUCGAGUUACGAAUAUUCACCCGGGAAACGGCAGUCAGCAACUCUCGCUACCCCCAACCCGCGAACAAAAGUAGUUUCCUGGAGAAGCGCCGCCCCUGUUCGUUCGGUGUCCGUUCUCGUGUUUUGUCGAGUUGUUCUCUGGCAAGCCCUGAAAAAAAAAGCGAUGCCCUGCGGCCACUCAUGGCUUUGCUCUCUGAAGCGUUCUGUACCGUUUCGGCGCCCGAAGCGCGAAAGCAAGCCAAAGAGGGGGGAGACGGAACCCCGCCAAAGAGAGGUGUGCCAUGACGGACCCUCGCACCUGGGGUGUCUUACUACAGUGGCUCCAGCGGGAUCUCGG